UGAGUAACCUGCCCUUAACUCUGGGAUAAGCCUGGGAAACUGGGUCUAAUACCGGAUAUGACUCCUCAUCGCAUGGGUGGGGGGUGGAAAGCUUUAUUGUGGUUUUGGAUGGACUCGCGGCCUAUCAGCUUGUUGGUGAGGUAAUGGCUCACCAAGGCGACGACGGGUAGCCGGCCUGAGAGGGUGACCGGCCACACUGGGACUGAGACACGGCCCAGACUCCGUACGGGAGCAG
rnacentral:rRNA from 1 species